rnacentral:rRNA from 1 species
GUGAACGCUGGCGGUAGGCCUAACCCAUGCAAGUCGAACGGCAGCACAGUAAGGGCUUGCUCUUACGGGUGGCGAGUGGCGGACGGGUGAGGAAUACAUCGGAAUCUACUUUUUCGUGGGGGAUAACGUAGGGAAACUUACGCUAAUACCGCAUACGACCUACGGGUGAAAGCAGGGGAUCUUCGGACCUUGCGCGAUUGAAUGAGCCGAUGUCGGAUUAGCUAGUUGGCGGGGUAAAGGCCCACCAAGGCGACGAUCCGUAGCUGGUCUGAGAGGAUGAUCAGCCACACUGGAACUGAGACACGGUCCAGACUCCUACGGGAGGCAGCAGUGGGGAAUAUUGGACAAUGGGCGCAAGCCUGAUCCAGCCAUACCGCGUGGGUGAAGAAGGCCUUCGGGUUGUAAAGCCCUUUUGUUGGGAAAGAAAAGCAGCAGGUUAAUACCCCGCUGUUCUGACGGUACCCAAAGAAUAAGCACCGGCUAACUUCGUG